AUUGAACGCUGGCGGCAUGCCUUACACAUGCAAGUCGAACGGCAGCACGGGAGCUUGCUCCUGGUGGCGAGUGGCGAACGGGUGAGUAAUGCAUCGGAACGUGCCCUGAAGUGGGGGGAUAACGUAGCGAAAGUUACGCUAAUACCGCAUAUUCUGUGAGCAGGAAAGCAGGGGAUCUUCGGACCUUGCGCUUUUGGAGCGGCCGAUGUCGGAUUAGCUAGUUGGUGGGGUAAAGGCCCACCAAGGCGACGAUCCGUAGCGGGUCUGAGAGGAUGAUCCGCCACACUGGAACUGAGACACGGUCCAGACUCCUACGGGAGGCAGCAGUGGGGAAUUUUGGACAAUGGGCGCAAGCCUGAUCCAGCCAUGCCGCGUGAGUGAAGAAGGCCU
rnacentral:rRNA from 1 species